rnacentral:rRNA from 2 species
GACGAAGGAUGCAAGCGUUAUCCGGAUUCAUUGGGUUUAAAGGGUGCGUAGGCGGACUGGUAAGUCAGUGGUGAAAUCUCUUUGCUUAACAAAGAAACUGCCAUUGAUACUGCUAGUCUAGAGUAUAGAUGACGUUGGCGGAAUAUGACAUGUAGUGGUGAAAUACUUAGAUAUGUCAUAGAACACCGAUUGCGAAGGCAGCUAACGAAACUAUAACUGACGCUGAGGCACGAAAGUGCGGGGAUCAAACAGG